AUUGAACGCUGGCGGCAGGCCUUACACAUGCAAGUCGAGCGGAGUGGCGGACGGGUGAGUAAUGCCUAGGAAUCUGCCUGGUAACGGGGGAUAACUUCCGGAAACGGGAGCUAAUACCGCAUAAUAUCAGAUGUGCCGAGGUCGGAUUAGCUAGUUGGUGGGGUAAAGGCCCACCAAGGCGACGAUCCGUAACUGGUUUGAGAGGAUGAUCAGUCACACUGGAACUGAGACACGUUCCAGACUCCUACGGGAGGCAGCAGUGGGGAAUGUUGGACAAUGGGCGAAAGCCUGAUCCAGCCAUGCCGCGUGUGUGAUGAAGGUCUUCGGAUUGUAAAGCACUUUAAGUUGGGAGGCGUUACCAGCAGAAUAAGCACCGGCUAACUUCGUGCCAGCAGCCGCGGUAAUAC
rnacentral:rRNA from 1 species